GGUUUCAUGCAGGACUCUAUGUGUUCCAUUUCUUCCGGACUCCAAUAUCCUGCACCGGAUGCAUGUUUCCUUACAGCGAAUCUUGGAUCAGCUUCACUUCUCCCAAGCGCACCUCAGACUCUCUUAUCCCAAAGACUGCCGUGUGUGUGUGUGUGCUUGUGUGUAUCUCUCUCCCUCAGUCUAGUCAUUGAAACCCAAGCAAACCGUACUUCAGCUUCCCCCUCCGUUUCAUUCGCACCGUGACACAUAUAAUAAUAUAAUAUAUAAUGUUCUAUCUGAAUGUUUAUUUUCCACAGAAAUGGCAGUGCUGAAAAACAGCUUCUGGCAAUUAAAGAAGUAAACACCAGACAAAAUCAGGAAAUCCGAAGCCUGGAGUACACAAUCAGUAGCUUCGAGAAAAGCAUCUGUUUAUUCGAGGCACUUUCUUUUGAUUACAAACGCAGACGUCAUUGAACUGAAAGAAAAAGUGCUUCUCCACGCACACUGAGAACUAGCAGGAAGCUGACAAAGCAAAGAGAACUGGAUCAGCCAUGUCACCACCCAGGAAAGCUCAAAAGCCUUGACUUUAUGCUGCUUCACCAGAUCCUACAAACACAAGACACACAACACAAUCUCUCAUCUAAAGUGCGUUAGAAACACUACAAAAGUCCUGUUCUGAUGUUUUACCUACAGACAGGAUUCAUGCACUUCUCACAGGAACAAGUGAACUUCCUGUUCUGAGAUGAAGAGAAAGCAGUCAUUUCUGAGUUUUGUGUAAAUGAGUGCUUAGCAAAAAACGUAUCUGUCUGUGAUUUUGGAGAAGAUUAAGGUGGAGAGAGGGUUUAUGGGACAUGAUCUCCUGCAGUUUCUCUGUAGGGUUUAUGUAGGCGUGUGGCAACAGAGAGGAGACUCUCACAAAGCACAUGCUCUCGCCUACAGACUUUUUAAAGAAGACUUUUUUGAAGCCCCCAAAGUGAUUAUGGUCAUUGUGACAGCAUGGGCAAGUAUUUUGUUCCAUGAAAGUUCUUUAUGCCGAUCAAUUCACGUAGUGAGCAACCUGAAAGCAAAGGAAAAGGUAUUUUACUUGCUCAGCACUUAUCUGUGCUGGGAUGAGGUAAGUUGUUGAUCUUUAGUGUUCCUCUCAGUGUCAAUGUUUAUUACUGGCAGGCCAGAACUGUCAAGCAUCUUUUUUCAACUGGACUUUUUAUGUAUUUUACUGCCUUCUUAAUCUACUUUUAAUUUCCAAGUAUCAGUGUAAUCUAGUGGGACAAAUUCUUUGUACAUUUAUGUUGAACUAUGCUGUCAGUUAAACAGUGUUUCAUGGCACUGGGUAUUAAAUAAUGAUGUAUUUUCUGCCAGGCGCCUCCGGGAAACACAUACAAUAUGAUCACCAGCACCCUGAUGUCUUUUCUGGAAGACAGCAGACUGAGGUUCCUGAAGAACAGCUCGUAUGGUUAUGAUCUCUGUCCUGCUACCUGGAACUACAUCUUCAGCCUGGAUCUUCUGUGUGCACAACUGGGCUGGACUUGGACCAAUAUUAUACGGAAGGACCUUUGACUGAUACUGAACACUUGGCUGAUGCAAGCAAGAACAGAGCAAACACCGUUCCGAGACGUCUGUGUAGCAGCAGUUUUCAGGCUACUUGGGCGACUUGGUCAGCUAGGACUUUAAGGAGAACCUGCCAAUGUCAUUUGAAAUUCUGGCAAAAAGCAUAAAUCAGUUUGUAACCCAACUCUCAAAAGAUAUGCCAUGGGAAUUGCAGUUACUAUUUUUUAGUAACUAGCACAACACUGGUCUUCAGUAUGAUUCUGGGCUCCAGACUGGUUAAAAAAAGUCAUAUUCCUCAUUUCAAAUAGAAAAGAUGUCAUCGUACAGCCAAAUGAGGAUUCAGCCCUGGGGGUCCUUAGUGCUCACUGUGGUGGGUUUGGGGAUGCAAACUAACUGAAGUGUCCUGUCAGGAAGUCAGACAUACAGACUUAAUACAUAGAUGUAAACUAUAAUAAACUGAUAAUGCUGUACAGAUCAUAAAUAAAUAAACAUUUUUAUUUAUCUAAAAA